AGCUAUCAUUUGUGAGACAAGGGGAUAGGACCGCUGAGAUACUUAUCUUGCUACACAUUUGAUGUGUGCGGUCCAUUCGAUAAACUAGACAAGAAAGGUUAUCUCUACUUCAUUAUCUUUACCAAUGAUUAGUCAUGAUAUGGGUAUAUGUAUGAGAUACAAAUCUAAAGCCUUUGAAAGGUUUAAAGAAUUCAAAUAUGAAGUAGAGAAGUAAAUCAAAAAAAAUUUAAAGAUACUUUGA
rnacentral:lncRNA from 1 species